rnacentral:rRNA from 1 species
CCUACGGGAGGCUGCAGUCGAGAAUCAUUCACAAUGGGGGAAACCCUGAUGGUGCGACGCCGCGUGGGGAAUGAAGGUCUUCGGAUUGUAAACCCCUGUCAUGUGUGAGCAAUUAAAAAGAUAGUACCACAAGAGGAAGAGACGGCUAACUCUGUGCCAGCAGCGGCGGUAAAACAGAGGUCUCAAGCGUUGUUCGAAAUCACUGGGCGUAAAGCGUGCGUAGGCUGUUUCGUAAGUCGUGUGUGAAAGGCGCGGGCUCAAGCCGCGGACGGCAGAGGAUACUGCGAGAAUGGAGUAAUGGAGGGGGAACCGGAAUUCUCGGUGUAGCAGUGAAAUGCGUAGGUAUCGAGAGGAACACUCGUGGCGAAGGCGGGUUCCUGGACAUUAACUGACGCUGAGGCACGAAGGCCAGGGGAGCGAAAGGGAUUAGAUACCCUUGUAGUC